GUUAGGUAAUAUAAUGAAUAACACUCGAGCAAUAUACAAAAUAACCACUCGGGAAGUAAAUCAGAUAACACUCGGCAACCAUACAAGCUCGAGUAAUAUGAGAUAACUAUUUGUAAAUCUACGGAAUGACCACUUGUGUUGUAUCUAUCUUUUUAAAACUCUUCCAAUAAACAAAACGACCACUCGUAUACUAUAGAAAAAGAAGAUGUGGUAUGAUUGCCAAUGAGACAACUCAGUAAGUAACAACUAUAGGUCACCGUACCGCCUUCAACAAUAAUCAAAGCCCAUACCGCAUAGUCAGCUAUAAAAGGCUUCGAAAUGACGACAAUUUAAAACAAUUCAAAC
rnacentral:lncRNA from 1 species